AGAGAUGUGCAUGCCAGGGGUUGAUGCAUAGACUGUAAAAGUGAAGCCAAAACACCUGGAUCGCCCUCUGGUGGCUGGCUGCAGUAUAGGUCAUA